CAGGAAGGGAAGAAAGGCAGUGUCCCGUGGCCCUGUGCGCCUCCUCCCCUGUCAUAAGAAGUGCGGCCCCGUGCGCCCGCGCCCCCCUCCCCUUCCCAUCACAAGUGCGGCCCCGUGCGGCAGCGCCCGCACCCCCCCGUCAGAAGUGCGGCCCCGUGCGCCCGCCCCCCCCUGUCAUCAGAAAUGCGGCCCAUGCGCCCGCGCCCCCCCUCCUCAUCAGAAGUGCGGCCCUGUGCGCCCGCGCCUCCCCUGUCAUCAGAAGUGCGGCCCCGUUAAUGACAGCAUCUCCUGACCGGCGCACUGCACCCGCACUACGCUGCAUCCGCCCUCCCUGCUAUAUCCCAGCAGUGACAGGAGCUGCAGAGUAACAGUAUAGCGGCAGCAGCCAGGAAGCAAAUGAACCUGGGCACUAUCUGCAGCACUGCUAGGCCGGCUCCACAGAACAAGCUGCAGGAGCAGACACCGAGACAAUGUAAUGUUGCGGUUGGAGAUCCCACAAGUUUGGCCCAAAUUCUGGCCAGCAUGCGCCAGCAACUCCAACAUUUACUGGCAACAAUGGAUGUGAUGCAAAAAUUUGUUUAACAAAAAAAAAUUAUUACAAAAAACUUACAAAAAAAAAACAAAAAAAAAAUAAACAUUUUUGUUUCAAGAUAA